rnacentral:rRNA from 1 species
AGUGAACGCUGGCGGUAGGCCUAACACAUGCAAGUCGAACGGCAGCACAGUAAGUGCUUGCUCGUACGGAUGGCGAGUGGCGGACGGGUGCGGAAUACACCGGAAUCUACUUUUUCGUGGGAAUAACGUAGGGCAACUUACCCUAAUACCGCAUACGCCCUCCGGGUGAAAGCAGGUGAUCUUCGAACCUUGCGCGGUCUGAUGUGCCGUGGUCGGAUUAGCUAGCUGUCGGGGUAAAGGCCCACCAAGGCGACGAUCCGUAGCUGGUCUGAGAGGAUGAUCAGCCACCCUGGACCUGAGACACGGUCCAGACUCCUACGGGAGGCAGCAGUGGGGAAUAUUGGACAAUGGGCGCAAGCCUGAUCCAGCCAUACCGCGUGGGUGAAGAAGGCCUUCGGGUUGUAAAGCCCUUUUGUUGGGAAAGAAAAGCAGCAGGUUAAUACCCCGCUGUUCUGACGGUACCCAAAGAAUAAGCACCGGCUAACUUCGUG